UUCCCCAUAGGUUAAUGGAUAAACUAAGGGACUUCUAAUCCUUUGCUCUGUGUUCGACUCACAGUGGGGAAG
rnacentral:tRNA from 1 species